AUGCGUGCAACUCUUGAAGCCGAAUACACUCGAGAGGAAGUGAAAGCAACACUGGAUCACAUUGGUGAUCUGAAGGCCCCAGGACCGGAUGGUAUGCCUUCUAUCGUUUUUAAGCGACAUUGGCAUUUUAUGGGCGAUCAGAUUGUUAAAGAGGUCCUAUCAGUGCUAAAUGGAGGAGACAUGCCAGAGGGGUGGAAUGACACUAUGGUUGUACUAAUCCCCAAGGUAAAGAACCCAAAGAGAAUCAAGGAUCCGAGGCCGAUUAGUUUGUGCAAUGUAGUCUACAAGCUGGUUUCCAAAGUCAUAGCAAAUAGGCUAAAGUUAGUGCUACCGAAUGUCAUCUCGGAUAAUCAAAGUGCUUUUGUACCUGGAAGACUAAUCACGGACAACGUUCUCAUUGCAUAUGAGAUCUCACACUACCUCAUGAACAAGAGGAGUGGCAAAAGUGGUGUGGCAUCAGUCAAAGCAGACAUGAGCAAAGCCUAUGAUCGUGUCGAGUGGGGCUUCUUGGAAGCCAUGUUGUGUAAGUUGGGCUUUACCAGAACAUGGACUGAUCUAGUCAUGAAGUGCAUGAGGACAGUGAGAUACCAAAUCAAGGUCAAUGGCAAAGUCACGAACACAUUCAGCCCUUCUCGCGGCCUGAGACAAGGGGAUCCCAUAUCUCCCUAUUUGUUUGUCAUUUGUGCAGAGGGGUUGUCUGCGCUCCUUAAUGAUGCCGAGGAGAAAGGUACAAUGCAUGGAGUCAAGAUAUGUCAACAGGCACCGUGCGUAUCACAUCUCUUGUUCGCUGAUGACUCCAUGCUGUUGAUGAAAGCAAACCAGGAAGAGGCAGCGGCAUUGCACGACGUGCUCCAGUUAUAUGAGGAUUGUUCUGGCCAAUGCAUAAAUGUUGAGAAGUCUGUUGUCAUGUUCAGCCCCAAUACAAGUAAUACAUCAAAACAAUCGGUCAAAAAUGUACUGGGUAUACAUAGAGUGAGAACUGGAACGAAAAGUACCUAG
rnacentral:rRNA from 1 species